rnacentral:rRNA from 1 species
GCUAAGAAUAUUCCGCAAUGGACGAAAGUCUGACGGAGCGACGCCGCGUGGAUGACGAAGGCCGAAAGGUUGUAAAAUCCUUUUGCUGGUGAAGAAUAAGUCUGGGAGGAAAUGCCCGGAUGAUGACAUGAACCGGUGAAUAAGCCCCGGCAAACUACGUGCCAGCAGCCGCGGUAACACGUAGGGGGCGAGCGUUGUUCGGAAUUAUUGGGCGUAAAGGGCAUGUAGGCGGUCAUGUAAGUCUGGCGUGAAAUGGUUCGGCUUAACCGAAUCCUGCGUCGGAAACUGCGAGACUAGAAUCACUGAGGGGGAAUCAGAAUUCCAGGUGUAGGGGUGAAAUCUGUAGAUAUCUGGAAGAAUACCGGUGGCGAAGGCGGAUUCCUGGCAGAUGAUUGACGCUGAGGUGCGAAAGUGCGGGGAGCAAACAGGAUUAGAAACCCUAGUAGUCC